rnacentral:tRNA from 1 species
UAAGAUCUUAAGUUAAAUUAAACUGAAAGACUUCAAACCUUUUAAUAUGAGUUAUAACCUCCUAGGUCUUAG